CCGGCAGCGAUCUUCAGUGAGUGUUAAACAAAUCAACCCUCGGCCAUAACGAGCCAUAAAGUUAAUGGCUUCCGGGGUUACACAUUCCGCCGCCAGUAUUA
rnacentral:antisense_RNA from 1 species